AUAAAGACCUGUGUUUCUGGCUUGCUCCAAAUGAGAUGUAAGUAGUGAAAAGCAAAGGAGAUCAAGAUGCUGCAGUCAAGAAGCUGGAAAAAUACCAAUCAAGGGCGUUGGCAUAGACAAAGGAGCGAGGGCCUCAGUCAAAUGCUGCUGUGAGGGAGAAUGAGACCAGGUGGAGCAGUGAGUACAGGGGUGCCAGGCUUCCUGGAAAGGGCAGCUUCGGUGGAUGUGCCAGAGCCUGACCCAGUUGGUGAGUAUGAAUGAGAAUGAAGAAAGGAAUUAGUGAUUAGCAGCACUCUUUUGAGAAGUAUUAUCGAGAAGAAAAGCAAAUAGAAGGGUACGGUAAGUACCUAGAAGAGGAUGUGAGAUCACAGGAUGCUUUUUUAAGUUGAGGUAUAAUUUACAUAAAUGUACAGAUCUUAAGUUUUGCUUUUCUUAAAAAAAAAAAAAAAAAGAGCAAAUGCAGGAGAGGAGAGAGGGCCUGAAAAGAAAGGGUGAUUAAGAUGUCCUGUAGUGAGGGAAACAACUUCAGGAUAGAGCAUCUUUUUUCUCUAGUACCCAGCAUGGCACCUGGCACCCAACAAGUGCAGAUCAAAGUGGAAGAGCAAGGCAAUGUAAAUUUCAGCAGUGCGGGGCUCUUCUCCUCCCUAGGAACUACUCAACCUCUGCCUUGAUACUGAAGAGCACAAAGCAGGAGAAAACUCUAUGUCUUUCCCAAAGGCAAUCUGUCUGUCUCUCUUCCCAGGAAGGUCAGUGCCUGCCAAUCACUCUACAGGAAAGGAUGUACCUUUGAAGAGGAACUUUCCGGACCCUCUUAAUUCUGCCAUUAGUGCAGCUCUUCCAGAUAGAGCUUUGGAGCCAAACCCUUCUGAUGAUCCAAGGGCAAGCACAAUCUUCCUGCGACAAUAUCAAACAGAUGUUCAAGAAAAGAGAAAAAGCAGCCGCACAAACCAUGUACCUACUAAGCAUUUUACUAAAAAGCACAGCUCGUGUUCAACCAUAUACCUAGAUGACAGCACAGUCAGCCAGCCUUAUUUUACAACCACGGUAAAAUCGUGAGUACAACUAUGAUGUCAAGGGACACAGCCCCUUUUUCUAAAAUCAUCCCAGCCAUCCUCAGUUAUUUCAGUCAUUUGAUUAUCUUUUUCAGCAAUCAGUCUAAGAAACUGUUGUCAACUAUAUAUUGAUUUCCAAUUCUAAAUAUUAAUUUUCAAAAAAAUAUUAAUUUUCAGUUUCUCCUUUAACUUUAGACUUCACAUUGGAAGGGAAAAUUGGUUAGCAAAUAAUCAAUCCCUGGAAAAGUGUAGUUAUUUAUUUGAUGCUUUUUUGCCUUAUGACAAUGUUGAAUACAAUGAGUAGGAUAGGUGUCCUUUAUAGGAUGUUUUCCCCCCCAAAAAAAGUUUUUUUAUGAGUUACAGGCCUAAAUCAAUCAAUAUGUACUACUUUUGACAUUAAUCUUGGAAGAAGGAACAACUUUUUCUCUACUGGCACCGUAGUAUAUCUGCAUUUGACUUCCCUUCAUUUUGCAUGAACACCUCAUAGGGCACAAUUGAAGAUGCACUUUUAGAACAACCCAAG
ensembl:lincRNA